GCCCUUGAGUUUGAUCAUGGCUCAGAUUGAACGCUGGCGGCAGGCCUAACACAUGCAAGUCGAGCGGUAGAGAGAAGCUUGCUUCUCUUGAGAGCGGCGGACGGGUGAGUAAUGCCUAGGAAUCUGCCUGGUAGUGGGGGAUAACGUUCGGAAACGGACGCUAAUACCGCAUACGUCCUACGGGAGAAAGCAGGGGACCUUCGGGCCUUGCGCUAUCAGAUGAGCCUAGGUCGGAUUAGCUAGUUGGUGAGGUAAUGGCUCACCAAGGCGACGAUCCGUAACUGGUCUGAGAGGAUGAUCAGUCACACUGGAACUGAGACACGGUCCAGACUCCUACGGGAGGCAGCAGUGGGGAAUAUUGGACAAUGGGCGAAAGCCUGAUCCAGCCAUGCCGCGUGUGUGAAGAAGGUCUUCGGAUUGUAAAGCACUUUAAGUUGGGAGGAAGGGUUGUAGAUUAAUACUCUGCAAUUUG
rnacentral:rRNA from 1 species